rnacentral:rRNA from 1 species
AACGAACGCUGGCGGCAUGCCUAACACAUGCAAGUCGAACGAGACCUUCGGGUCUAGUGGCUCACGGGUUCGUAACGCGUGGGAACCUGCCCUUAGGUUCGGAAUAACUCCCCGAAAUGGGUGCUAAUACCGGAUAAUGUCUUCGGACCAAAGAUUUAUCGCCUUUGGAUGGGCCCGCGUUGGAUUAGCUAGUUGGUAGGGUAAAAGCCUACCAAGGCGACGAUCCAUAGCUGGUCUGAGAGGAGGAUCAGCCACACUGGGACUGAGACACGGCCCAGACUCCUACGGGAGGCAGGAGUGGGGAAUAUUGGACAAUGGGCGAAAGCCUGAGCCAGCAAUGCCGGGUGAGUGAUGAAGGGCUUAGGGUUGUAAAGCUCUUUUACCCGGGAUGAUAAUGACAGUACCGGGAGAAUAAGCUCCGGCUAACUCCGUG